AGCGGGAUCCCCAACAACUUCGUGCCGCGCUCGCCGCCGGAGCCGAGCGCCAACCGCCCGCCCCCUCCUGCGGGGGAGGGGUCCAGGGCCGGGCCGGGCCGUGCCGAGCCGGGCCGGGCGGAGCCCUGCGGGGGCGCUCCCUCAGGUGAGCGAGGGGCGGCCUCGGGCGCGCGCGCGGCCGAUUCCCGCCCACGGGCUCCCUGAGGGGAGCGCGGGCCUGCCUCAGGCCGGAGCGGCCAAAGCACUCCUAUAAACCGCGAACGGCGGAAAACAACACAAAAACAAACAAACCCACGCGCAACAGCUCCUGCUUUGUUCAGGCUGCGGGAAACGGUGCCAGGACGAAAAGGGGCGGCCAGAAUAAUCCUCUGCAGCUGCAGCCCAGCGCCGGGCGCAGAUCCCACAGUCAUUCAUCGUCUAGAGAAUAACUUUACAGCCUAAUUGUGAAUCAGCCCAGAACUUUUAAGUGUCCUUACUGAGAUGGGAAUUUGAAUGAGGAAAAAUGGUCCAUUUCCAGGGGAGAUGAAUUGAAGACCCUGUCAUGUGUCACUAGUGGCAUCUCUACACUGGGUUACUGGUAAGUGCAGAAGAGAUCAUUACUCCAGCUUCAACCACUCUUCUCAGAUUAAAACAAUGGUAGUCACAGGGAUAGGAAAAGACAUUCAGCUGUUUGAA